UGAUACCAGAGGUGAUGGUGGUGAAUGGGGGAAGAGGAUGAUACCAGAGAUGAUGGUAGUGAAUUGUGGAAGAUAAUGGCAAGCAUGCCAUGCUGCCCUUUGUCUUGAGAGACUUUAAAAAGACACUUUCUAAAUCUCUCACUUCCUCUCACUCAUGUUCUUUCAAGCAUGCAACCCGGUGAUUGAGUCAAUCCUAGUGUUGAAAUGCAACCAGCAGUCAGGGAUAAGGAAAGUCAACACCAGCCCACGUGUUCUCAUUAGGCGGAGCUAAGAAGAACUGAAGAAGUAUAUUUCCUUCCCAUCUUCUGACUCUGGGCCAGUCAGUCUCUGUCUGGCACUUUCCAGCCACUUCCUAAACACUUAGGUGAGUGUCAAGCAUGCUACCUAGCAGAGGAGGAGGCAAUAGCAUACCUGCAGGCAAGGAGGAAUAACAGGCUGUACGGUGAGAGUGAACCUGUCUGUCAGUGUUUGUCUGGGAAGCAACAGGCAGCUCGUAACCGCCAACGGUGCGCUGGCAGACCUGUCUGUCUGCCUGGACGGGUUCCGCCUUAUAGUCCUGUUUGUGUCAUGUUAACGACUUCAAAACAAACCACUCUUCCCUGCUUUCACAUAGUGCCAGCACCAGAGAGGCUGAUCGACACCCCAUUUCAGUUCAGGGGUGUAGUUAGGCACACAAUUGUGUUUCACUCAUGUUAGUUGAGGAGUAACCAAUGAUAACUACCACAAAGUAGCAACCCAAUAGUCCCUCUGUGUUUGUGUGUGAUUGUCAGAUUGCCUCAUGUUCCACAUUAUGGCUUAACACUGCUAACCCUAUCAGCAUUCAAACUGUAGGGCCAUUAUCCAAUGCUUUAUUGAAUUAUAUAAUAGCCUCCUAAUUUGGCAGAAUAACUUUGCUGCACACAUUACAGAUAUUGUUGCCAAGUACCUCAACUGAGUGCAGACUAGAGUUCCUUAAAUGAACCUCUGACUCGCGAUAUGUCGAUACUUAAAAAAAAAAAAAACAUUCUUAAACCCUUAUCAUGUACCUAUGUUUGUCCUCUGUUGUUCCGUGCCUUUCUUUGUUUGCUGAAAUCCGUUUUUUUUUUUUAUUAAACGUUAAUCAAAUACAACCACUGACUGUUUCCUCAUUGCUGGUGCUCUAAGAUGGCAACUCAGCCGCGAAUGCCAAUUGAAUCUCAACAAGGAAAACAUCUGGGGUUGUAUUUGAUUAACGUUUUAUAAAAAAGGUAUGGAUUUCAGCAAAGAAAUGCACGCAACAAAGGACAAACAUAGGUAGGCCUACAAGUCACUCAGGAAAGUACCAGCCCGACCCGCCUCCUGUCCUGGACAGCUACAGAGGAACACAGAGCAGAACACAGACAUAAAGACGUCCUCGUCGGAUACAAACGCAACACACACAGCAGUGUUCUGAGGUUUCACGGCAGAGGAAGCCAAGAGGACAAACACACACAGCGGCUCCAUCUCUCUCUCUUCCUGCACUCCCUCUGCUGCAUCUCAGGGGACUGAGGUUGCUCUACCCGAGCCUCUCUCCCCCCACGGCCGGACGCUGCAGAUUGAUGAUGCCGCAGCAGUCGAUGGAUCGCUGUGAGGUUUCAGAGAACUGCCACCAUCUUAGCCCGGGGGCCCAGGGGAGCCAGCGGCGCCUGGUCAGUGGACUCCUUCUCUGGGUCGGUCUCCUCACCGUCAGCCACGUGGUCUCCAUCACCCUCCUCGUCAUCACCAGGCCACACGCACUGCCUCUGCCAGAAAUAGUUUCAGCUCCAAAACCCACAGCAGACACAUCUCCGGUAAGCUAACCACAAGACGGGUUUAAACAUGUUUCCAACCUCAAAACAUGUUUUAACAUGUCCCAUGCAAACGUUUUGUUCAUUUUUGCCCCCUCCAAGACAGAGAGUAGUCAUAACAUCAUCAUCAUCAUGAUAUACAUGGCCUGCCAAUAGGAUAUACAAUAGA